rnacentral:siRNA from 1 species
CCGAUAGCGAACAAGUACCGC